AUUGAACGCUGGCGGCAGGCCUAACACAUGCAAGUCGAACGGUAACAGGAAGAUGCUUGCUUCUUUGCUGACGAGUGGCGGACGGGUGAGUAAUGUCUGGGAAACUGCCUGAUGGAUGGGGAUAACUACUGGAAACGGUAGCUAAUACCGCAUAACGUCGCAAGACCAGAGAGGGUGGCCUUCGGGCCUCUUGCCUUCGGCUGUUCCCAGAUCGGAUUAGCUAGUAGGUGGGGUAACGGCACACCUAGGCGACGAUCCCUAGCUGGUCUGAGAGGAUGACCAGUCACACUGGAACUGAGACACGGUCCAGACUCCUACGGGAGGCAGCAGUGGGGAAUAUUGGACAAUGGGCGAAAGCCUGAUGCAGCCAUGCCGCGUGUAUGAAGAAGGUCUUCGGGUUGUAAAGUACUUUAAGCGGGGAGGAAGGGAAUAAAGUUAAUACCUUGGCUCAUUGACGUUACCAGCAGAAGAAGCACCGGCUAACUCCGUG
rnacentral:rRNA from 1 species